CCCCCCAGCGAGCAGCAUUACAUCGAACACCUUCGCUGCAUGGCAGGCGACGGACGCCGGGUGUCUACCUGGCCGGCCUGGGAGGACAUGAUGGCGAUGGAGCCAGGGAGGCGCGUCUCGCGGGUGCGCGCCUUCAUGGCCGGAAGCGCGGCCUUGAUGAGGUGGAAGCUGCCCAUGAGGUUGAUGUCCACCAUCCACUUGAUCUCAUCCACGUCCUGCCCCUCGAGCUCCUGCGGCACGAACACGCCGUGGUUGCAGACGAGGACGUCGACGGGGCCGGCCUCCUGGAGCGCGCGCGCGACGGCGCCGGCGUCCCGCACGUCGGCCGCGUGGACGCCGACGUCGUCCCUGCCCGAGUCGCGCUGGAUGGCGGCGCGCGCGUCCUCGAGGCGGGCGAGGUUGCGGGCCAGGAUGGAGACCCGCGCGCCCUCCCGCGCCGCGGCCGUGGCCAUGGCGAGCCCGAUGCCGCUGGACCCGCCCGUGAUGAAGACGUGGCGGCCUUUGAGCGGGACCCGCGCGGCCCGGGGCCGCGUGAGGAGCGCGAGCGCGGCGAGCAGCCCGACGGGCGUCACCAGCAGGAGGAGGAGCGCCACGGCCAUCCCGACGGGAGUCUGUUGGCUGCUGCUAGCGGUGGAGUUGUGGGGGCCGUGGUGGAGUGCGGCGCGGCUGGAUCUGGGUGGCGGGGUUAAAGAAGGGUGGUGCGGGCCGUCGGAGUGGACCGGCUCUUUC
rnacentral:misc_RNA from 1 species